GGUCUCUUAGUUCAAUGGAUAGAACAAGUCUCUCCUAAAGAUUAGAUUUGGGUUCGAUUCCCAAAGAGACCA
rnacentral:tRNA from 1 species